UACGGAGGGGGCUAGCGUUGUUCGGAAUUAUUGGGCGUAAAGCGCGUGUAGGCGGCCUAGUGUGUCGGGCGUGAAAUCCCACGGCUCAACCGUGGAAGUGCACUCGAAACUGCAAGGCUGGAGUACUGGAGAGGAUGGUAGAAUGCUCGGUGUAGAGGUGAAAUUCGUAGAUAUCGAGCGGAAUACCGGUGGCGAAGGCGGCCAUCUGGACAGUCACUGACGCUGAGACGCGAAAGCGUGGGGAGCAAACAGG
rnacentral:rRNA from 1 species